AUGGGAGAGCUGGCCAUGAGGGCAUGAGAGCAAAUCUGACCCUACCAGCUGCAGUACUCAGGAGAGCAGGCCCUGCACACUGUAGGAGUUGCACGUGAGCCUGUCCCAGGAAUAGGAAUAUGGGAAAUCUUGCCCAACCACUCAUGUCCUGCGUGGUGAGGUGACUGUGUGGUGGCUUGGACAAGGGAGAGAUACCCUCUUCCUCCAGUUUCUUCUCAACACCUGUGGCAUAUAGGAGACCUGGCACUGGGGUCAUGGGACCAGGAAAGCUGGUCCUGCCUCUCACCAACUACAGCACUCUGGAGAGCAGCUGCAUCUCACUUGGGUGCAGAGUAGAGCUGACCCUGGUGUCAGGGAUGCUGGCAAGACAGCUCUAAAGGUGGUAAAGUUGACCUGAGUGAGUCACAAGAGCAGGAGAACUGUCCCUUACCCUUCCUGAGGAGCAUAAUCAAGAUGACUGUGGAUGAAGGGGUUUCAGACAGAAUCUGUAAGACGGUGCAGGCAAGCUUAUGUGAAAUAUUCAUUUCAAGCAAUAGCUCAAAAACUGGAGGAUCCAAGCUCUCUACAUAUUGUUCAGGCCACAUUGUCAGAGGUUGGAUUUACAGGGAUUUACAUACUCAGAUAGAGGAUAGCACUUGGGACACUUAUUGAAAGACAAUAACUGGAUCUAUACCCGGGGAAGAGCUAAGAUCAUGCUGAGAUAUAUGGCAUAUGCUGGAGACCAUGUGGGUGUCUGAAAUUCAUACUGUCACCAGAAACCAUGUAGAAGUUCAUGAUCAUGGUCCUGCUGACUGUAAAAGGCAAAGAAGCCACUUUGUAUUAAUGACUACAGAAUCACAAUUGACAAAAAAGGACUUAGGAUACCUCUGUGCCAACCCUUAUGUUGAUCCUAAAAAAGUAAGAGCCUAGAGAAAAAAAACUAUUGAAGGGGAAUCCUAAAAGUUGUGAUGAGGAUACUAAAGUGUAGUUCUCCACAGCUGAUGGAUUCUGAAGAGAUGCAGGUUGUAAUGCAAAUGGGAAUCCCAAUGCAGCAUGUACUAAGAAAACUCUAGUAACUGCUCUAAGACACAUUUCCUGGUCUACACUGUCACUGGAACAUUGAAAUGGAAAACUGAUCAGCACAUACUAGUUCAUUAAAAUUAUCAUGGAAAGGACCCCAAAGAGAGAAAUGUGUGACAGGCAACAUUCUCAAGGCAUUUUGGAGCGUGCAUCAACUCAACUCACUUCAUGAAAAAUAAGAGAAGAUGGAAUCCUGCUUUUCCUUUCAGGGUAAAUAAUAGUCUCCAUGAAAUAAAAAAAAUCUCAAUGAAGAACUCCAGACUGAACAGUGGGCAGAAUGAAGUCCACUGAUUGGCCAUUAUGAUGAAUUUAAGUGUCCAGCCACCCAUCCCAUGAAAGCCAAUCAAACAGGUGAAGAUAAAUAAACAGCUGUUCCAGUU
rnacentral:lncRNA from 1 species